rnacentral:tRNA from 1 species
UGGGCUAUAGCUCAGUGAUGGAGCACUUGCCUGGAAAGUAGUGGUCCCUAGGUUCAACUCCCAGUAUCACAA